rnacentral:rRNA from 1 species
UCCGAAGGGGGCUAGCGUUGCUCGGAAUCACUGGGCGUAAAGGGUGCGUAGGCGGAUCUUUAAGUCAGGGGUGAAAUCCUGGAGCUCAACUCCAGAACUGCCUUUGAUACUGAGGAUCUCGAGUUCGGGAGAGGUGAGUGGAACUGCGAGCGUAGAGGUGAAAUUCGUAGAUAUUCGCAAGAACACCAGUGGCGAAGGCGGCUCACUGGCCCGAUACUGACGCUGAGGCACGAAAGCGUGGGGAGCAAACAGG